GCCCAGGUGGCGGAAUUGGUAGACGCGCUAGAUUCAGGUUCUAGUGGGCGAAAGCUCGUGGAAGUUCGAGUCUUCUCCUGGGCACCA
rnacentral:tRNA from 1 species